rnacentral:rRNA from 1 species
GACGAACGCUGGCGGCGUGCUUAACACAUGCAAGUCGAACGGUAAGGCCCUGCGUUGGUCGCGUGUGCCGGUCGCGAGCGGAACACUAACACAACCGUCCCCUGACUCUGGGUUAAGAAUAGCUAACGGCUGCUAAUACUAAUAACUGAUCUCCUCUCGUGCGGCGGGGUGUGGGUUGGUUUGGUGGUGGGGGAUGGGCUCGCGUCUUAUCAGCUUGUUGGUGGGGUGAUGGCUUACCAAGGCGUCGACGGGUAGCCGGCCUGAGAGGGCGACCGGCCACAUUGGGACUGAGAUACGGCCCAAACUCCUACGGGAGGCAGCAGUGGGGAAUAUUGCACAAUGGGCGGAAGCCUGAUGCAGCAACGCCGCGUGCGGGAUGACGGCCUUCGGGUUGUAAACCGCUUUCAGCAGGGACGAAGCGCGAGUGACGGUAACUGCAGAAGAAGCACCGGCUAACUACGUG